UUUCAAAAUGUUAAAUCUGAUAACCAGGGGUCGGACAAAAAGUGUGGAUGACGUCAAACCACUUAUAGGAUGAUUUCAAAUAGUAUUUUUGAUUUUCAUAAACAAUUAUCACUUAUCAUUUAUCAACCUCUUUAUUAAACGUAUCGCCACUUGAAAUGAGUAAGUACGUUUUUGACUGACACAUUGUCAAUCAGAUGAACAAUAAAUUGACUUCGUUAUUGUUUAGCUAUUGUAUCUUCACGAUUAUAUUUAGCUAAAAUUUAUAUUUACUAAUGUAUAAGAAAACGCUCUAAAAUGUCAUCUUUACUCGAAUUUACUCGUGAUCCCACAGACUUGUUCUAACUAAUUUCAAAUAAUUAUACCUUAUGGUAACAAGUUUCGUGAAAUUUAUUUUAUUCACUACAUCACCCUACCACCUGUAUUAUUAAUUCCAUGGAUUUAUUUACGAUUAUUUUGUUACUUCAUUAAUACUAC